CAAUGAAGGAAGAGUGCUGUAGAUCUGGACCUCCCCUACCCAAAAAAUGACCUGGUGUUUCCUCCCCCCCUUCCGGUGAUAAAAGACCCACUUCGGAAGAAAAGAAGACUCAUAAGAAUAACGUAUCUAUUGUUCCCACGGACGUGGAAGCUGCCCGGCGUGCUAGGCCUAAGCAAAUUCUAAUGGAGGGGCCUCCUAGUCGCUAGACAAAGAGCUAGAGAGAGAGCAAGGCUACUUCAGUGCGCUGAAGCCAAGAAGGAUACUUCACGACGGUGUACAGUAAACCAUCCAAUCCCGGGCUUUGUUUAAUAGCAAGAACAAGUGUCCGGACGUCUACCAGAAAGGAGUGUCGCUGACACUUAUGUAAGGAGGCCCCCUCUCACACUGGUCUACCUUGAACGAAACGGCGAAACUGUAGGAGAAACUCAACCUCUUGUCAACUUGUCAACAACGGUUCAUACACAGGGAAAUUAAAAAAUAAAUAAAUGCCUUUAGCUGGUAAUUAUUCGUCCUUUUCAUUAAUAAAAGAUUUACCAGAUUUUGUGACUAAUGGUGUAAAUAGCGCAGUCUUAUCCAAGGAUUCUGAAAUGAAAUAGCAACUAAUAAAAUAUAAGAUAUAAAAUCGCAUUUCGUUCUUUAACGUCUUUAUAUGAGUGUGUAUUCAUUUACGUAUUUAUA